rnacentral:rRNA from 1 species
AGUUUGAUCCUGGCUCAGAAUGAACGUUGGCGGCGUGGAUUAGGCAUGCAAGUCGAGCGGAAAGGCCCCGCAAGGGGUACUCGAGCGGCGUAAGGGAGAGUAACGCGUGGUUUAUCUACCCUCAGGCCCGGGAUAGCUGCGGGAAACCGCAAUUAAUACCGGAUAACAUCUCCGGAUCAAAGGUGUGAUUCCGCCUGUGGAUGAGACCGCGUCCUAUUAGCUAGUUGGCAGGGUAAUGGCCUACCAAGGCGAUGAUGGGUACUGGGUGUGAGAGCAUGACCCAGCUCACUGGGACUGAGACACUGCCCAGACACCUACGGGUGGCUGCAGUCGAGGAUCUUCGGCAAUGGGCGCAAGCCUGACCGAGCGACGCCGCGUGUGGGAUGAAGGCCUUCGGGUUGUAAACCACUGUCAGAGGGGAUGAAAUGCAUGAGGGUUCUCUCUCAUGCUUGACAUAUCCUCAGAGGAAGUACGGGCUAAGUUCGUGCCAGCAGCCGCGGUAAUUC